GACGUAGGGGGCGAGCGUUGUCCGGAAUCAUUGGGCGUAAAGCGCGCGCAGGCGGCUCGGUAAGUCGGUUGUGAAAACACGAGGCUCAACCUCGUGCCUGCAUCCGAUACUGCCGAGCUCGAGGCAGGUAGGGGAGAUCGGAAUUCCUGGUGUAGCGGUGAAAUGCGCAGAUAUCAGGAGGAACACCGGUGGCGAAGGCGGAUCUCUGGGCCUGUCCUGACGCUCAGGCGCGAAAGCUAGGGGAGCAAACAGGAUUAGAAACCCCAGUAGUCC
rnacentral:rRNA from 1 species